AUUGAACGCUGGCGGCAGGCCUAACACAUGCAAGUCGAACGAGUGGCGGACGGGUGAGUAAUGAUUGGGAAUCUGGCUUAUGGAGGGGGAUAACGACGGGAAAAUGUCGCUAAUACCGCGUACCAUAGGGUGAGCCCAAGUGGGAUUAGGUAGUUGGGGGGGUAAGGGCCUACCAAGGCGACGAUCUCUAGCUGGUCUGAGAGGAUGACCAGCCACACCGGGACGGCGAGACGGCCCAGACUCCUACGGGAGGCAGCAGUGGGGAAUAUUGCGCAAUGGGCGCAACCCUGACGCAGCCAGGCCGCGUGAGUGAAGAAGGCCUUCGGGUUGUAAAGCUCUUUCGGUAUGGAGGCGUUAAAUACAGAAGAAGCACCGGCUAACUCCGUGCCAGCAGCCGCGGUAAUUC
rnacentral:rRNA from 1 species